UACAGAGGGGGCAAGCGUUGUUCGGAAUUACUGGGCGUAAAGGGCGCGUAGGCGGCCUGCUAAGUCGAACGUGAAAUCCCUGGGCUCAACCCAGGAACUGCGUCCGAUACUGGUUGGCUUGAAUCCGGGAGAGGGAUGCGGAAUUCCAGGUGUAGCGGUGAAAUGCGUAGAUAUCGGGAGGAACACCAGUGGCGAAGGCGGCGUCUGGGUCGAUACUGACGCUGAGGUGCGAAAGCGUGGGGGAGCGAACAGG
rnacentral:rRNA from 1 species